rnacentral:lncRNA from 1 species
AUAUAUAAUUAACUACCACGGAGCACAAGCAGCUUUGCUUUUCCAUGAUCAAGCUGCUAGAGAUUUUGGGGUGAGGGAGCGAAAUGAAGGCUAAAUAAAAGAACCGGAGAUAAGAUAAUCCUGCCAUGUUAAAAGGCUGUGGCAACGCUCUGGUCUUUGUGGAGAGAGGAGCCUGGUGUCAGCAAAGGCAGCAGGGGGAAAUCUGAACAAAGACAGACGGAGAGGAUGCUGUGCGACAAUGGAAGCAGAGAUUGGAGUGAUACACCUACAAACAAAGGAAUCCGAAAGACUGCUGGCAAUUGCCAGAGACUAGGACAGAGGGAUGGUACAGAUUCUCCCUCAGUGCCUCCAGAAGGAACCAAUCCUGCCGAAACCUUGAUUUUGGACUUUCAGCUUCCAGAAACAGUAAAUAUACAUUGUUUUAAGCUAUCCAGUUUGUGGUGACUUGUUAUGGCAGCCCUCAGAAACCAAUACAGUAAUUUCCACAUCAUCAGUCUUGAAGAAAAAGGUUAUAGGAACAGGAGUCAACCUCUUGGAGUUUCAAUUUCCUCCCCUAUAAAUUGGG